AAAAUAGUGUACUGCAGUGGCGGCAAGAGUCCAUUGACUUGGGGUGGGGAAGAUGGGGCUCAGUUUCGAAUAUGGAGAUAAGCCUUAGAGCUUCACUGGUGCUUCUCUCUGCACUACAACUGUGUUUCAACCCGUGUCCCACAAAUUUGGGAAAGAAAUCACAAAUGAAAGAUGGAAUAAAAUGAUCCAACAGGUUGUACCUUGAUACACCAUGCUGGUUACAAGACACUUGCAGUGUCGUCUAAAUGCGGGAGGUCACAAUAUCCUGUUCCAAUGUUAGCAUCAAUUGGCUAAAUAGAAAACAGAAGAGCAACCUCGCACAAAAGCAAGGAGGAAAAAGCUGAAAGAAAAAAUUAAGACAGA